rnacentral:tRNA from 1 species
GGGCCCGUGCCCGAGUGGCCAAAGGGGUUGGGUUCAGGUCCCAAUGGGUAAGUCCCGUCGCGGGUUCGAAUCCCGCCGGGCCCA